rnacentral:lncRNA from 1 species
CGCAAACUUAUACUAGCAUCGUACAUAUGGGGGAGCACACACGCGCAUACGUGACACGUGGCUCAGAUCCAGCAGAUACGUGUUCGUUGAUGGAGCUCGCGUGAAGCCGGUUAGUCGUCGGCCCUGACGGCGAAGUUCUCCUUGCGCUCGUGGAACUCGCCGGUGCGGGUGUUGAUGUCCUCCUCGAACUUGCUCUCGCGCGCCUCGAAGUGGCCGUGGUGGCGGCCGGUGCGCGAGACCUUGUCGACCUCCUCGAACUUCUCCUUGACGACGUGCUGCUGGACGCCGCCGUGGCGGCCGAAGCCUGCCGGGCUCGCCACCGACCUCACCUCCUCCGAGCUGUAGUCCACCUCCUGGUAGUGAGCCAUUGGCGAUGCUUGGGGUUUGGGUGUUGGGUGUAGUGCCUGUGACUUGAAAGGGCUUGUGAAUUGUAUGGCAUGACUUGUGUGCUGGAUGCUAGGGUUGGGGCCGGGGUGCGCUUUUAUAACGCCUGGAAUGAAGCGCAUGAGUGGAGGGAGGAAUAAUCGGUGCGAAAGAAACCUGUGUGCAGCUGCUUUAUUGAUUAUUGUGUGUUUUUUCUUCGCUUUUUACCGUUCAUCUAGAGGAAGUGUUUGGACUGUACUGGCCAAGUUGAUGUUAGGAUGUCUAGGGCAUUUUUAAGUGCAAUUUACAUGUUCAUAUAAAGUUCAAUUGUAUUCUAAUUAACAUCAUAUAUGCAGUUCCAUCGUGUUGGGAUAUUUGUGUACUGUGUUUUCAAAAAAGAACAAAUAUUUGUAAGGAGUCAUCGAAGAGCUAUAGUCACCCUGCGGGCUGGAGCUAGUGUGCAAAAAGAAAAACAAGACAUGUAUUAUGAAAAAUAAGAAGAAGAAAUGACAGACAUAGGUACGCAGUGCAUAUAAUCAUUAAAAUCAGCUGCUUGUUAUAAAACGUGAGUUCAAUUCCAUUAAAAAAGGAAAAACGGAUAUGCAAUUAGCGAGCAAAAAAGUUCGGCUCAUCUCAAAUCCUCUUCUUCUUAUUAAGUCACCUUGGACAGAAGAAGUCACCGGCCGCGUUAGGUAAGAAUAUACUUAUCAGUUGUCAAGUCGGAAUAUAUACUUGCGUCUCGGCCUGCACCUCGUUUCACUUCACCAUGGAUGGAGACCGCAAGACGCCAUAGCCGCACCGGACAGCGCGUUGCUUGUAUGUGAAAAAGAAUCACAAUUCCUUCAUCCAUGAUAAGAUGUAUGUCCAUAACAAGGAGGGAAAGGGGAGGGGCGUAUAAGGUGUAUGGAUAUGUUUACUACAGUUUGUAAAAUGUGUAUGGAAAACUAAGUGAUUAUAUUGUUUACACUUGUUACUCUAUCCAAAUUCCUUGGUUUAUAUAAGCGGUAACAUUCACCAGAAACGUUAAACUAAAAUUUUUCAAUCUUACUAUUGAUAAUUGAAGAUUCCUUUUUGGAAACUUCACGUUAUUCCUCACGUGAAGCGUUAGAAAAAAAAAUUAGAUAAAAUUCAGAAAUAUCGACCAUCAAUUAGGUAGAGCCUAAUCAUCAUAGCCAUUAGACCUAUUAUGCUUUCUAAAAAAUUACCCACCUCUACCAUUAUGAAAUAAUCUAAAGUACAUAUGUAUUGUGAGCAACUCAAAGCCCCCAAAGGUGAAAUUGGGUUCUCUCUAUUUUUUUACAGGUCCAGCAAUAGCCCCAUAGAUAGAGGGCUCCCUAAAUACCCCCAGGAAUGGAGGGUGGAGGGGAGAAUUUGGAGAUCUUCCCAAAAUAGAGAGCCUAGUAGAUGGUCUGCUGAAGUGUAUUUUUUUACUUGACCCUCUAAACUUGGAUUAGGGGACCAUUUAGAGGCACGUAGAGUUGCUCUUAGAAUAUUUACAAAUAAGGGACAACGCAAAGUUAUUAGCUACAGAUCCUAAUGUUUUUUUUUAAAAAAUCUAAUACUUAAGUCUUUCAAACUAUUAGCACCAGCGGGAGUACAAGUUGAUGUUUCAUAUAAUUUUAAUAAAAAUUGUAUGGCGGACCAAGCGUGUACUAGACUACUAGUAAAUGUGUGUUGACAUGAAAGCACAAGCAAAGAUCAAUCAACUGGCCAACGGCAAGAUCAGACUGUAAUCACCUGCUACUAGCAUGGGCAGAGGCCGCAGUGCACAUGCACAUCUCAUCGAUAGGCCUGGAUAAUUGAAGAGUUGAAGACGGCCACACACGAGCCAUGGAAAAACUGAAUGCGGCAGGAACGAAGCUGAGCCGGCGUCCGUCCGCGGGCAGGAUGCCGAUGAUGUCGAGCUCACGGCCGUACGGCCUGUGCAGCAGAGGAGCUCGGUCGGCGUUGCUGUGGGAGCCCAGUAGCUCACGGUGGAGGUCGUCAUCGACGGCGCCGGCGAGCCACGCCGGCCUGUGCAGCAGCACGGUUUACGGGUCCUAGAACGCGCGAUUAGCUGGUUUGAGCUCGCCAUCGAGUCCAUGGCGGCGUGGUUAUGGUCCACGAUCCAGGCCGGGUGGCCAGCGGCGAGAGGCGCCUGACCCCGGAAGAUGUGACGAACCCUUACCGGCGCCUUGAUUGCCUAAUCCGCAAUGUUACUAAGGAGUUGCAAAGUUGGUCAGCUAAGAAGAUUGGCUCCAUUCGGCUUCAGCUUCUCGUCGCCAAGGAGGUUAUCCUGCAGCUGGACCGGGCACAAGAGCUGCGUUUGCUGUCAGAAGAGGAACGCGAGCUGCGGAGACAGCUAAAGGUACUAACUCUGGGCCUCGCUUCACUGGAACGAACAAUCGCCAGACAGCGGUCGCGCGUCCUCUGCCUGAGCGAAGGGGACGCGAACACGAAGUUCUUCCACCUGCAUGCAAAUGGUCGGCGACGAAUGAACCACAUCGCUAAACUACAGACAGGGAAUGGCAUGGUGUACACAGCAGAGGAGAUGGCUGACGAGCUCCACACCUACUUCGAUGGAGUUCUUAGACAGGAGAGGGAUAGGCAGACCACGCUGAACCUGGAGGCAUUGGGGAUCGUCCCGAGAGAACUCCCUGGCCUGGAGGAGCCAUUUACUGAGGAUGAAGUGUGGCAAACAAUCCGGGCCAUGCCGCCGGACAAGUCGCCGGGGCCAGACGGUAUGACGGCGGCGUUCUAUCAAUCAGCCUGGUCUAUUAUCAAAGAUGAUGUGCUGAGAGCGGUGAAUGCUUUCUUUGUGGUGGAUCGACGAGGUUUCCGGUGCAUCAACCGGGCGCUCCUCACGCUGAUUCCUAAAAACCCAGAUGCUCAAGCACCGAAGGACUAUCGCACUAUAAGCCUAAUUCACAGUUUCCCAAAACUGCUCGCCAAGCUGCUUGCUAAUCGCAUCAGCCCCUACAUGAACGAGCUUGUUCUCUGCAAUCAGAGCGCCUUCAUCAAGGGGCGGUCCAUUCUGGACAACUACAAGUAUGUUCAGAGAUCAGCGGCCAUCCUCCGGAAGCGGAAAGUGCCCAAGUUGUUGCUAAAACUUGAUAUUUCGAAGGCCUUUGACACGGUGGCGUGGCAGUUCGUGCUGGAGGUCCUGCAGGCAUGGGGUUUUGGAUCGAGAUGGAGCGAUUGGAUUUCUCUAUUGCUGUCCACGGCAACUACACGUGUGCUGCUCAACGGCCAGGCAGAGCUGCCGAUUGAGCACCGUCGCGGUCUCAGGAAGGAGAUCCAAUCUCCCCAAUGUUGUUUGUGCUGGCAAUGGAUGCUCUCAACCGGCUCUUUAACAAGGCGGAUACUGAUGGAGUGCUACAGCCGCUUGGGGUGCCAUGCAUGAAGCACCGCUGCAGCAUGGACGCGGACGAUGUGAUCCUAUUGGCAGCACCAACUGCGGGGGAAGCAAGGGCUAUAAGCCGCAUUCUCAAUCUCUUUGGAGAUGCAUCAGGGUUGCAAACGAACUUAGAAAAGUGUUCAAUCACACCAAUCUACGGCUGUGAAGAAGUGCUGGAGAGCUUACAGUCAGUGAUGCCAUGUGCCAUCAAGGAGUUCCCCAUCACGUACUUGGGAGCGCCACUGUCUGUCAGAGCAUUGCCAAAAUCUCAGUUUAUGCCGAUUGUUGAGAAGGUUGCAGCAAAAUUACCAGCUUGGCAGGGACCCUUAAUGAAUAAGAGUGGACGCCUCACCCAUGUGAAGUCCACCCUCUCUACAAUGCCCAUUUACUUGAGCAUGUCUGACAAGAUGCCAAGAUGGGCUCUCAAGGAGUUGGACAGUAUCAGGCGAAACUUUCUGUGGAAUGGCACUGACAGGGCAGUAAGAGGGAAGAACGCGGUGGCCUGGCCAACUGUCUGCCGGCCUACAUGCUACGGAGGGCUCGGGGUGAUCGACUUCAAGCUAGCUGGCUUUGCCCUACGGACGCGUUGGCUCUGGCUACAGAAAACGGACGACGAGCGUUCGUGGGCUGCACUACAAAUCAAGGUGCAGCCGGAGGUUCGCGCAUUCUUCAGCGCCUCUGUAACGGUGACUGUACGCAAUGGAGAGAGAACAUUAUUCUGGUUAGACAACUGGAUUGAUGGGCAAUCCGUCUCCCACCUGGCGCCUAACCUCCUUCAGACGGUGCCUGCACGAGUGAGGAACUGCAGAACGGUGGCGCGAUCGUUGCCGGAGCGGAGAUGGACGCAAGACAUUCGAGGACGUCUGUCAGUACAGGUACUGGUGGAAUACAUAAACCUUUGGGAGCGCAUCUCCGACUGGCAGCUCAUGGAAGGGCGGGACGUUUGCCGCUGGCGAUGGACCGUCGAUGGCAGCUACACGGCAGCUUCUGCAUAUCUCAAAAUGCACGAGGGAAGCAUCAAACUACGAGGUGCGUCGAGAAUUUGGAAGAAUUGGGCGCCGCCGAGGGUCAAGUUCUUUUCCUGGCUAGCAACGAAGAAGCGCAUAUGGACAGCUGACCGCCGCCGCCGGCAUGGGCUGGAUGCUCAUGACAAAUGUUGGCUCUGCGAUCAGGAACUGCAGACCACAUCUUGGUCAGCUGUGCCUACGCCAAGCAAAUUUGGUGGAAAGUCACGACGACGAUGCAUUGCAGCUGCAGUUUUUCCGCAGGGGCACAUUCCAUGCAGAGCUGGUGAGCAAAUCUAAGGAAACAGCAACCAAGAGCGAAGAGGAAGGGCUUCGACACCCUAUUCAUGCUUAUAAUUUGGAGUAUUUGGAAAGAGCGCAAUGCAAGGCUCUUCAACCAAAUAUCAUCCUCCACUGGCCAUGAGCUCACUGAGCGCAUUCUACAGGAGGCUGAGAUAUGGAUACUUGCGGGUGCUUGGCGAUUAGGUAGUAUCCGGCAUGAGUAGUACCAGUUAGAGGAGGCCUCUGGCCAUUAGGUUGUAGUCUGCAUACGGCGUAUGCAAGGUUUUGGCGUGUGCUCCGUCUCCGCCGAUUCCUGUAAAAAGUUUUUAAAUUCUCUUCUUAAUACAAUGAUGUCGCUUGGAGUAAAAAAAAAAGAGCGCCUGACCCGGCCACCCCUGGGUUUCUUGCAACUGUCAGAUCGGACAUGUGCGGCCACGGUCGCCUUGACCUCGCAAAUAUUCAUGUGGUGUCUUCGCUCGACCACCGUUGUCCUCGACGACGGGCUGCAUGCGCUCCGAGCCUCCGAUGAACCGCGCGCUGCCUGACGAGCCAGAGUCCAGUGGCCGCGAGAAUCACUUCUGAUGGUUACGAGAGCAUCGUAGGCAGGUGUGGUGCUUAUCUCGCGAGAUAACAGAAGCGGCACGGUGCGGCGGUGCCAUUGCCGGCCGGCGCGGUCCUAGGCGUUCUGACUUCUGCGGCGUGUUUGCCUGCGGCGACGGCGAGGGCCAUCGCGAUUACGAGUAUGAUGCUGCUACUGCUAGAGAGUGUUGGGCGCGCGGCACCGUGGCUGACUUCGGCCGCGACGUUGGCUCGGACGCCACGGCUGCUGUGCUGCCUCAGCUAGUCAGCGUGCGCUCGCCGGCGCCGGCGCCAUCGACGGCACCAAAGGCAAUCGAUGCUGACGCCCGCCAGCAGCACACCGGCAAUUGCAAGUCUGUCAACCGUCGCAGGGGAAUAUUUGCGCCGCCGGCCGCUGCCUCCUUGGGCGCUGCGCCGCGCAUCGGAGCGGCGGAGCCCAGCGCGUCGUCGAGGACUGCAGUCAAGCGAGGAAGGCGGAAAAGUCUAGCUCCAUUGACUUGAUCGCUGCCGCCCACGUGAGAUCCAACGGUCUAAAUAGGCCCAGAGUGGACGGUAAAUGAAAUACCGUCCACCCCCGUGUCUCUCUUCCACCGCGCGUCGAGCUCCGAUGACGAUCCGCGCGCCGCCCAACUUGGCAGAGUCCGGUAGCCGCAAGAAUCUUCGCCGACUAUGGUUGUGAGGACACGAGGGAGAUACUUAUCUCACCGUACCAGAGAAGUGGAACGAUACGGUGGUGCCGUGGCUGGCGCAGCCCAGGCGUUGUGACUUCUGCGGCGUGGCUGGCUUCGACCGCCCGCGAUCAGGGAGGGACUCAAUGACGCGGUGGCAUCCAUGGGUAGAGCACCGCCGACGAGCGCUCGCGAGAACCCCGUGGACGGCGCCAAUGUCGAUUCGGAUGCCUCGGCAAGGUCACUGGCGCCGAUGCAUGGACGGCUACAGCCUACAGCCAUCAUCACAAUGCAAGGACGGCAAGGAGGCUGCCAGUUCUGGGGUUUGGGGGCAAACGUUUUUUGCCCCCAAACGAAUCGAAUGUUCACUUUGGAGUUGGGUCGGCGCAGCAAUAUACAUGCACGUAGUACACGGAGAAGCUUUAUUCAGGUCACGAGCUUAUUUUCGUAGUACGUACAGAGGCUGCGUGCAAGCACGCCAGCAAAGUACGUGGAUAAGGUAGACCUCGCACACACAAACUUACAAUUUCAUACAUACGGAGGACAUGCACAUACACGUACGCGAUACCUGCCUCCGGCCCAAUCCAGAUACGUGCGUCGUCGUCGAUCGAGCCCGCGUGAAGCCGAUCUCAGUCGGACCUGACGACGUAGCUCUCCUUGCGCUCGUGGAACUCGCCGGUGCAGGUGUUGAAGUCCUCCUCCACCGUGGUCUCGCGCAUCACGAAGUUGCCGGAGCCGUGGCCGUGGCCGUGGUGGCCGUGGUGGCCGUGGUGGCGGCCGUGGCUGCCGGUGCGGGAGACCCUGUCGACCUCCUCGAACUUCUCCCUGACGACGUGCUGCUGGACGCCGCCGUGGCGGCCGAAGCCGGCCGGGCUCGCCACCGACCUCACCUCCUCCGAGCAGUAGUCAACCUCCUGGUAGUGAGCCAUUGGUGAUGAUGCUUGGGUUACUUGUUCAGUGCCUGUAUGCCUUGAAGUGCUUGUGAAUUGUGUGAGACUUUUGUGCUAGGGCCGGGUGCGCUUUUAUAGCGAGGAACGGGGGAAGCAGUGUGCAAGCGCAUGAGUGGAGUGAGGAAUAAUGUGUUCAUGGUGAGGGAGAAAGAUAGAUACAUGUGUGCUUCUUUUUUCCAGCAUUGAUCUAUA